rnacentral:rRNA from 1 species
AUACGGAGGAUGCAAGCGUUACUCGGAAUCACUGGGCGUAAAGCGCGCGCAGGCGGCUAUUUAAGUUGGAUGUGAAAGCCUACGGCUCAACCGUAGAACUGCAUCCAAAACUAUUUAGCUAGAGUGUGGGAGAGGAAGAUGGAAUUAGUUGUGUAGGGGUAAAAUCCGUAGAGAUAACUAGGAAUACCAAAAGCGAAGGCAAUCUUCUGGAACACUACUGACGCUGAGGCGCGAAAGCGUGGGGAGCAAACAGGAUUAGAAACCCUAGUAGUCC